UGUUAUGUGGUUUGGUUGGUUAAAGCGCCAUAGUCUAGCGAAUACGGAGUCGUGGGUUUGAAUCCCACCAGAACGC
rnacentral:tRNA from 1 species